GCCCGAAUGGCGUAGUGGUUAGUGACCCUCACUACUGAGCCGAAGGUCCCGAGUUCGAUUCCCGGCUGGGGCA
rnacentral:tRNA from 1 species